AUUGAACGCUGGCGGCAGGCCUAACACAUGCAAGUCGCGCGAGCGGCGGACGGGUGAGUAAUGUAUGGGGAUCUGCCUGCUGGAGGGGGAUAACUACUGGAAACGGUAGCUAAUACCGCAUACCAUCAACUGAACCCAUAUGGGGUUAGCUAGUAGGGGGGGUAACGGCUCACCGAGGCGACGAUCCCUAGCUGGGCUGAGAGGAGGAUCAGCCACACUGGGACUGAGACACGGCCCAGACUCCUACGGGAGGCAGCAGUGGGGAAUAUUGCACAAUGGGCGCAAGCCUGAUGCAGCCAUGCCGCGUGUAUGAAGAAGGCCUUCGGGUUGUAAAGUACUUUCAGUCGGGAGGCGUUACCGACAGAAGAAGCACCGGCUAACUCCGUGCCAGCAGCCGCGGUAAUUC
rnacentral:rRNA from 1 species